rnacentral:rRNA from 1 species
GACGAACGCUGGCGGCGUGCUUAACACAUGCAAGUCGAACGAUGAACCACUUCGGUGGGGAUUAGUGGCGAACGGGUGAGUAACACGUGGGCAAUCUGCCCUUCACUCUGGGACAAGCCCUGGAAACGGGGUCUAAUACCGGAUACAACACUCUCGGGCAUCCGAUGAGUGUGGAAAGCUCCGGCGGUGAAGGAUGAGCC